UACGUAGGGGGCAAGCGUUGUCCGGAUUCCUUGGGCGUAAAGAGCGUGUAGGCGGCCAGGUAGGUCGGUUGUGAAAACUGGAGGCUCAACCUUCAGAGGUCGACCGAAACCAUCUGGCUAGAGUCCGGGAGAGGAGAGUGGAAUUCCUGGUGUAGCGGUGAAAUGCGCAGAUAUCAGGAAGAACACCCGUGGCUAAGGCGGCUCUCUAGUACGGUACUGACGCUGAGACGCGAAAGCGUGGGGAGCGAACAGG
rnacentral:rRNA from 1 species